rnacentral:misc_RNA from 1 species
CUGAAAUUCUCGACGAUUUGACGACA